UUGGUAGUAGUAAUCAUAGUAACCAUAGCGCUUGGUUUUAUUUUCUUUUUUUGCUUCUGGCUCUGUGACUGUCGGUGUGUGCGUGUGUGUGACGAUCGAACGUGAUAGGGGUUGAAAAGAGAAACAUCAAAAGUUUGUUCCGAAACCAAAACAUUCCAUUUAAUUUGCAUAAAUAAAAUCGAUGGGCUCGAUUAACUGGCGAGUCUGAAGUUUUAAUUUACGUCACUGAACAUGUUUUGUGGAAGAAAGUAUCGAGAAUGACGCGAAUUGAUAACUAUCGAUGUACUCUUUAGUAACUCGGUAGGACACGGGCAUCAUCUACGUCAAACCGAAACCAAUUGGGGGAAAAAUCCACCCACCUCCUUGUUGAGUGGUGAUGAUCACCUAAAGACUUCAGGAAUGAUUUUGAAAGUCCAAAAUAGGUCGGAUGUCGAUUGAAAACAAAUGAUGUAAAUAAAUCCAAAUGGUGCUGAGAA